rnacentral:rRNA from 1 species
CGGCAACGGAUAUCUCGGCUCUCGCAUCGAUGAAGAACGUAGCGAAAUGCGAUACUUGGUGUGAAUUGCAGAAUCCCGUGAACCAUCGAGUCUUUGAACGCAAGUUGCGCCCGAAGCCAUCAGGCCGAGGGCACGCCUGCCUGGGCGUCACACGCUGUUGCCCC